AACGCAGCGAAGGGCGAUAAGUAAUGUGAAUUGCAGAAUUCAGUGAAUCAUCGAAUCUUUGAACGCACCUUGCGCUCUCUGGUAUUCCGGAGAGCACGUCUGUUCGAGUGUCAUGAAACUCUCAAACAAAGAUGGCUUUGUUGCCGUCUUUGUUUGGAUUUGGACCUUGCUGUGUCAAUGCGGCUGGUCUUAAAUAUAUUAGCUGGUCCUCACGAAUGGUUUGGUUCUACUCAGCGUGAUAAUUAUCUAACGUUGAGGACGGUCUUAGGACUGGCCAGAGCUAUCUUUGGAUUGCUUCUAAUCGUCCUUAGGGACAAAUUAUUCAAUAUCUGACCUCGAAUCAGGUGGGACUACCCGCUGAACUUAA
rnacentral:rRNA from 1 species